rnacentral:tRNA from 1 species
GCAAAAGUGGCCGAACCUAGGCAAAAGACUGUAAAUCUUUCAAUGGUCAAAACCCGUUGCA